UUCCAUCUGGAAGAAUCUGGAGACAGGUGCUGCAUGGCUGUCGUCAGCUCGUGUCGUGAGAUGUUGGGUUAAGUCCCGCAACGAGCGCAACCCUUGCCUUUAGUUGCCAGCAGUUCGGCUGGGCACUCUAAAGGGACUGCCGGUGUUAAACCGGAGGAAGGUGGGGAUGACGUCAAGUCCUCAUGGCCUUUAUGACCAGGGCUACACACGUACUACAAUGGCCGAUACAAAGGGCAGCGACACUGCGAGGUGAAGCCAAUCCCGUAAAAUCGGUCUCAGUCCGGAUUGGAGUCUGCAACUCGACUCCAUGAAGUUAGAAUCGCUAGUAAUCGUGGAUCAGCAUGCCACGGUGAAUACGUUCCCGGGCCUU
rnacentral:rRNA from 1 species